rnacentral:lncRNA from 1 species
GGGAGGUGUGACCCGUGGCGAAGGGCACCAGCUGCUCUGCUGGGAGGCCCCUCCUUGCCCUUUGCUACCGACAGGGCUCGAGAUCAAGGAGGAAAGUAUCAGAAGGGAAAGGCAAAAGGCAGGCAAAGCUGUCCGGCUCCUCCUGGCUGGUGGGGAAUGAUGCACUGAGUUCUGAGAUCAAGGGCUUCACUAGGGAUCAGGCCAGGCAUGGAGGAUCAAGGUCCUCAGAGCUGGAUUCAAGGAGGAGGGAAAGAGGAGGGAAGCCCCGGCUGACAGGUACAGGGACUGGGGUUCAGAGGCCAGCUGUCCGGUUCCACGAGGAACACGAGAUGUGUGCACUCAUGCAUGUGUACACACAAAAAGGGGAAUUCGUCCAAGUCCAACUCACUCACAAAUACCCUCUGCAAUGUCAGAACAAUAACUGAGGCAUGACCUCACAUCAAGAGCUCAAGGUAGGAGGGACCGAUCCUUCCCUAGGGGAUGGAGGAGCCAUGGACCAGGGAGGUCAGAAGAGGAGGGAGCACGCGAGCUACUUGUGGAUGUGGUGGGGGGCCUGGAGGGUCCCCACACCAGGGCAGAGAGCUCCAGGCUGAAGGACGGCACAAGCAAAGGCAUGGGGCUGACAGGGCUGAGUCAGGUGGGUGAGAGGGGACCUGGCUCUGAAGCCCAAGCAGAGCUUCUCAGAUCUCAGGGACCUUCUUGACUCAGCAGGUUUGGGGGCCUGAGCCUCUGCAUUUCUAACAAGCUCUCAGGUGAUGCUGAUGCACUGGUCCAGGGACCACACUUUGAGCUGCAAGGGUGUGGGCUGAGAUGUCAGACUGAGUUUGAACUUGGAUCUGUCCCCUAUUGUCUGUGCUAGUGGGCAAGUGAUGAGCUCCUCCCCCUGCCUGAUUUCCCUCACUUAUAAUAUGGGGAUAAUCGUCAUAAUAAUGCCGCCUUCAAGGGGGUGAUUGUGAGGACGAAGAGGCAAAUACGGUUGACCUUUGAACAACAGGGGGGUUAGGGGACACUGCCCCCCCACCAUGGAGUUGAAUAUCCAUGUAAAGGCCGGUGCAGUGGCUCACACCUGUAAUCCCAGCACUUUGGAUGGCCAAGGUGAGAGGAUCACUUGAGCCCAGGAGUUGAAGGCCAGCCUGGGCAACACAGGAAGACCUGUCUCUACAAACAUUAGAAUAAAACCACUCUGGUAUGGUGGCCUGCGCCUGGAGUUCCAGCUUCUCAGGAGGUCGAGGUGAGAGAAUUGCUUGAGCCUGGGAGGUUGAGGCUACAGGGGGCCAUGAUUAUGCUACUGCACUACAGCCUAGGUGACAGAGGGAGACCCUGUCUCAAAAAAAAAAAAA